GUUAACAACUUGGGCUGAAGUACCGACUCAGGUUAACAACUUGGGCUGAAGUACUGACACACACACACACCAGGUUAACAACUUGGGCUGAAGUACUACCUCAGGUUAACAACUUGGGCUGAAGUACUACCUCAGGUUAACAACUUGGGCUGAAGUACCUACUCAGGACACAGGUUAACAACUUGGGCUGAAGUACCUACUCAGGACUCAGGUUAACAACUUGGGCUGAAGUACCUACUCAGGACACAGGUUAACAACUUGGGCUGAAGUACCUACUCAGGACACAGGUUAACAACUUGGGCUGAAGUACCUACUCAGGACACAGGUUAACAACUUGGGCUGAAGUACCUACUCAGGACUCAGGUUAACAACUUGGGCUGAAGUACCUACUCAGGACACAGGUUAACAACUUGGGCUGAAGUACCUACUCAGGACACAGGUUAACAACUUGGGCUGAAGUACCUACUCAGGACUCAGGUUAACAACUUGGGCUGAAGUACCUACUCAGGACUCAGGUUAACAACUUGGGCUGAAGUACCUACUCAGGACUCAGGUUAACAACUUGGGCUGAAGUACUGACACAGGACUCAGGUUAACAACUUGGGCUGAAGUACCUACUCAGGACUCAGGUUAACAACUUGGGCUGAAGUACUACCUCAGGACUCAGGUUAACAACUUGGGCUGAAGUACCUACUCAGGACUCAGGUUAACAACUUGGGCUGAAGU